CCUACGGGAGGCAGCAGUGAGGAAUAUUGGUCAAUGGACGAGAGUCUGAACCAGCCAAGUAGCGUGAAGGAUGACUGUCCUAUGGGUUGUAAACUUCUUUUAUCUGGGAAUAAAACGUUCCACGUGUGGGAUUUUGUAUGUACCAUAUGAAUAAGGAUCGGCUAACUCCGUGCCAGCAGCCGCGGUAAUACGGAGGAUCCGAGCGUUAUCCGGAUUUAUUGGGUUUAAAGGGAGCGUAGGUGGAUUGUUAAGUCAGUUGGGAAAGUUUGGGGCUUAAACGUAAAAUUGCAGUUGACACUGGCAGUCUUGAGUAGAGUAGAGGUGUGCGGAAUUCGUGGUGUAGCGGUGAAAUGCUUAGAUAUCACGAAGAACUCCGAUUGCGAAGGCAGUUCACUGGACUGCAACUGACACUGAGGCACGAAAGUGUGGGUAUCGAACAGGAUUAGAUACCCGGGUAGUC
rnacentral:rRNA from 1 species